rnacentral:lncRNA from 1 species
UAAUUUCAUUUUUGGUAAAUUAUGUUUUUCCAUGGUGUUUAGUGGGAAAAAUUCUAAAAUGCAACGGGUAUAUAUUGAUAACGUGGCGUAACAAACCAAUCAAAUGUCUCAUUUUAGGAGUAUAUGUCCCAUCAUGAUUGUAAAAAAAAUAUUUUUAUUGUACUUUUGUUUGAAAAGUAGGAAUGUUAUUGGCUUGUUAUUUGAUGACGUGAUGCAAGUGUGAUAGCGUAGAAUUUCUCGUCUAGUGGCUAGGGAGGGUGUUCAUCGU